GACGAACGCUGGCGGCGUGCUUAACACAUGCAAGUCGAGCGGUAAGGCCCUUUCGGGGGUACGACGAGCGGCGAACGGGUGAGUAACACGUGGGUGACCUGCCCUCAGCUCUGGGAUAAGCCUGGGAAACCGGGUCUAAUACCGGAUAUGACUCCAUGACGCAUGUUGUGGGGUGGAAAGCCUUGUGCGGCUGAGGAUGGGCCCGCGGCCUAUCAGCUUGUUGGUGGGGUGAGGCCUACCAAGGCGACGACGGGUAGCCGGCCUGAGAGGGCGACCGGCCACACUGGGACUGAGACACGGCCCAGACUCCUACGGGAGGGCAGCAGUGGGGAAUCUUGCGCAAUGGGCGAAAGCCUGACGCAGCGACGCCGCGUGAGGGA
rnacentral:rRNA from 1 species